AUGAGGAGCCUCCGAGUGGAACACAGCCCUCGGCAUUCAGGGCGGUGCCCCUGCUUUUUCUCCUCCGCCUGGGCUGCAGCGCCUCCCUGCUGCCCUGCUUUGUCGUCGUGUCAGCAGCUCUCCUGGGACCAUUACCGAGUCUGCCGUGGUGAAUGGGGACACAGCUUGAACGAGUUCUCCUGUAAGGAUGACCUCGCAGGAAGCAGCUCCUCUGUCACCCUGCUCGCCGCAGGCCUUCACUCUGAUCCGCUGCAGCCCUUGGUCCUUACCGCUGCUCCUGCUCCUGGCACUUCCUGCGUCGAGGAAUAGUUUCUUGGCUCCUACUCAGACAGGAGGACAGGCCAGCUUCCUUUCCAGCUGGCAGCGCUGGCCGGGCUGCACCACGCUCUCUGGGCCCCCUCGCCUCUCAGACAGGCUGUUUUUUUCUUGAGAUUUUGUUUUUUGAGACGGUCUCGUACUCUUGGAGAGCCUCCUGCCUCAGGCUCAGGAGUGCUUGGAGUACAGGCAUGUGCACCACCACGCCCAGCCUGACAAGUGCUGUUUGCAUCUGCCUCGAUCCAGGGCCCUACCCAUCAUCCCUGUUUCCAAACGAGUGAGGUGCGCUUCUCAGUUUCCCUCAGUUGCCUGAGACAAUUUCUGGUUGUAACUGUCACUCUAGUACGCGAUUUCUCUGGCCAGUGCUCUGUCCUGGGGCAGUGAGCAGCAUCCCUGGCAUCUGCCCAGUAGAUGCCAGUUGCACUCCCCUCUCCCCAGUUGUAAAAACCAAGAUCUCCAGGGGUUGCCACGUGGCCCCCGGGGACGG
rnacentral:lncRNA from 1 species